UGCGUAGGCGGCCAGGCAAGUCAGGUGUGAAAUCUUCCGGCUCAACCGGAAAACUGCGCUUGAAACUGCUUGGCUUGAGUGAGAUAGGGGUGUGCGGAACUUCCGGUGGAGCGGUGAAAUGUGUUGAGAUCGGAAGGAACACCGGUGGCGAAAGCGGCACACUGGGUCUUCACUGACGCUGAGGCACGAAAGCUAGGGGAGCGAACA
rnacentral:rRNA from 1 species